UAUAUAUGUGUGUGUGUGUGUGUGUGUGUACACACACACACACACACACACAUAUAUACU
rnacentral:miRNA from 1 species